GUGAACGCUGGCGGUAGGCCUAACACAUGCCAGUCGAACGGCAGCACAGUAAGAGCUUGCUCUUACGGGUGGCGAGUGGCGGACAGGUGAGGAAUACAUCGGAAUCUACUUUUUCGUGGGGGAUAACGUAGGGAAACUUACGCUAAUACCGCAUACGACCUACGGGUGAAAGCAGGGGAUCUUCGGACCUUGCGCGAUUGAAUGAGCCGAUGUCGGAUUAGCUAGUUGGCGGGGUAAAGGCCCACCAAGGCGACGAUCCGUAGCUGGUCUGAGAGGAUGAUCAGCCACACUGGAACUGAGACACGGUCCAGACUCCUACGGGAGGCAGCAGUGGGGAAUAUUGGACAAUGGGCGCAAGCCUGAUCCAGCCAUACCGCGUGGGUGAAGAAGGCCUUCGGGUUGUAAAGCCCUUUUGUUGGGAAAGAAAAGCAGCAGGUUAAUACCCCGCUGUUCUGACGGUACCCAAAGAAUAAGCACCGGCUAACUUCGUG
rnacentral:rRNA from 1 species